GAUGCAGCUCCGGGGUAACAGGUGACUUCCAGCCACUGCGACAUCAUGUACCUCACAGACUUCUUUGAAAAAACAAACAGCCACAUUAAAGCUCCAAGGAAAUGGUGUUAUUCUUGUCCAGUGCAAAGCAGUCAUCCGCAAUCUCAUCUCCAGGCUGUAUCUGUACAGAAGAUAAGCAGAAGGCAGUUAGCUCAUUUCCCACAAUUGACAAAGGUGGUUAUUGAUUGAUUAAUUAAUUAAUUGAUUACGCUUAUUUAAUUUCAAUGAAUUAUUGCAUUGCUAAUAAUAAAUAAUAAUAAUAAUAAUGAUAACCUAAUCAUUACAGGUAUCUGAGGAGCUUACCGAUGACUGCCUGCUCAUUUACGUGGAACACCUGAAAAUGGUUCAUGCUGAUCUUGUUAAUGCGCUUCAGGGACCUUCUGGAUCUUGAAGUUCUCGUCUGGGUGGUUCAGUUCUUUCAGGUGGAUGUGGUCUACUGCGAGAUUGCCAUCCAGGAGCAUCUUGUUGAUGUCCAAGUCAUCUUGCUUUUCAUACCUUGGGCUGGAGCAGCAUGUGGACCAAAUAUGCUACAAGUUAUCCCACUCUUUAGGAGAAGGCCAGCCUGCUGCUUCUUGCUUUCCCGACCACAUAUCUGGUGGAGAAGGGAUUCAGCCAGGUCCUCCACAUGCAGUCCAAGUAUCGAAAUCGUUUGGACUUGGCAGCUUCUGCUGCACUAUGGCUGAAACGUACUUCUCUGCAGCCCGCAACAAAAAAAACUGGCAGAAAAAUGUGAGGCGCUGGGCUCCCAUUAGUUUUUCAAAUUAAUUUCCUUUGAAAAUCUGCCUUAAAAUCGUACUUUGUUCUCUGUUCUUAAGUGGCAGAUUCUUUUUCAUUGGAACAAUAAUUCUGUUCAUUGCUUGGCAUUUCUGAUUAGCUGUUUAAUCAAUACUUUAUUGGUGGCUGUUUCUGAUUGGUUCCUCUUUACUGUAUUUGAUCAAAGUUUGAACUGAAAUUUCUAGCCGUUCUGAUUGGCUGAAGUUAGGCGUAUCUAAUUUAAGUUAAAUUUUGGCUGCUUUUUUAAAAAUUAUUUUAUUUUUUGAAGCAGUUGUACAUACCUUUUAUUCUCAUGCCAUUUUUACUUCAUGAGAAACUAAUACAUUUCUGUCAUUCAGUGAUGUACUUCAGGAAAUUAUUUUUUAAUGAUAUCAGAAACACUAGGCAUAUCAACAAUAAUAGUAGCUCAUCUCAUUUGAAGGGUAGUGGUAAGGGACCUGGACAAUGGAUAGGAGGCGCUGGCCCAAAAAAGGUUGAGAAGCUUUACCAUAGACAAUGGAGAAUAGUUCCUUUUUCAAAUAAGCAUUGUAUGCAAGUAGCUGGACAUAAUGGGGCCUAACAUGUGUUCUAUAGGUUCUCAAACCAUUUAUAAUGCAGAAUUUAAGAGUGUGUUUAUCGUUUGUUUUUGUGCUUUUAAACAAGCCUAAUUCCAGUCUUCCUCAUCGUAUAUGUCUUUGAAUAUCUCCUCUCCAAGCGUGAGACUUGCCGUUUUCUCUGUGCACCAGCCUUUUUUGUUUGUGCUUUAUGUGUGAUAAUAUUCAGAAAAUCUAUAAAAUUCUAAUUACAAAAAAAAAAAAAAAAAAACACUAGAUGUAUUUAGUCACUGUCUGUAUUUAGACAGAGACUACAUAUACAGAGGAAUAAACCUAAAAGCAAAAGGUCUUUCAAGCACUAAUUAAUACACGGUACUGUGGCAAGAACAGACAGUUUGAAAUGCCACAGCACUACCAAAACAUAUGUACAAAAACGGUUGAGACCACAUCUAGUACUAAUAUACUAAGUACUAGUACUGUAUACAAACCAUAACAAUAAUAAGAAACUUAUCACUUAUUUAUGUUUUUAAAUUAGAUUUUAUAUAUAUUUUCAAUAUUAUUUUUCAUGUCAGUAUUAAUGUCAUGAGGCUGGUAAGUGACUCAAUGAUACUUUCAAUUUGACUCAUUAUGACUUGAUUAGAGACCUGUAGACUAUAGGCUAACCGCGGUAACGCUCGUUAAUGACCGCCAUACGUUAGCAGAAACCGAUGGCUCCCUCUCAGACAGGUAUAAGCUGUGAUUACCACAUGCCUCUGGAAUUGGGAAUCUUUGUUUCUUACCCACUGUGACUGUGUGGCAAACAUUUUUUUGUGAAGCA